GUUGGUUGGUUCUUUUCUGCAAACAAUUAUACAAUAUUGGACAGAAAAGGCACUUUUAAGGUUUUAAGCAUCAGAAGCACCUUAUUUUGAAUGUUUUCUGCUUUUUCCCUAUACUUUGGCUUAUAGCCAGUUUUUUAAUGUUUCGCUGCCACAUUCAUAUUUCAUUAUUUUUCUGUGAAAAAUGUUACAUGAUACAAAUAUUCUUCAUCACCUCUGUGUUUUUUUCAUUAUACAGUUCUCUUUAUCCUGAAUGAGGUGGUUUGCUUAACUAACAUUGUUUUUCAUUAACUGCUUGACAAGAACAGCAAUAAGGAAAAAUAAAGAUGUGAAAGCUGCCUGGUGAAAAGUCUUGUAAAAAAACCAGCACCAUCCACAUUUACCUGAGCCAUCAGUACCAUGCACAGAAAAAUGAAGGAGAAGGAAGGAGAUAAAGGAAAGGAAGGAAAAAGAAGACAAGAUAAGAUGCAUGCUCUCUAAGACAUUUCUUACUUCUCUGAACCUCCUUCAGCUUUUAAUUUUUCUAUAUACUUAGCGCCAGGUACUACAGGAGAUUGUAUGUGCUGGGUACUUGUUUCAGGGUGAAGAGUUACAUCAGUGUAAGUAGUAGAAGGUUCUGCAGACAGGUUACUGCCACCACGACAGAGGUGACAUACAUGGAUAGUUUGAAAAAUCACAUUUUGUUUCAAUUUACCCCAAAGGAUACUAAACGUGGGCCUUGAAUGAGAGACAUUGAUCUUUUCAGUUUCACAGGAUCACAGAAGAACUGAGGCUGCAAGGGAUCUCUAGAGAUGGUCUAGUCCAAACCCCUGCUGAGAAGUGGGGUCAAACAGAGCAGGUUGCUCAGGGUUGUGUUCAGUUGGGCUUUGAGUAUCUCCAAGGACGGUGACUGCACAGCUUCUCUGGGCAACCUAUUCCCAUAUUUGACCAAAAGAAGUUCUUUGCUUAUAUUUAAGUAAAACUUCAUGUAUUGCAA